rnacentral:lncRNA from 1 species
GACUCAGUCAUAUUUGGGGCCCAUUAGUCACCCUUUGUGGCCCUAGAGGUGUCCGAGCUCCAGACCUCUCUGGGAGGAUCCUGAGUCCCUAGGGCGACCUCCUCACAUCCCACAGUCUCCACUUCCGGUUUUCCACUUCCCACCCUCCACUUCCGGUUUGUCUCCUUCCCUGAUGCUUCGUGCAGGGUUCCCCAAAUAAGUACCCUGCACACCUCUCCACAGUGUCUGCAACCUUAGUCCACAUUUGAAAGUCCCGGAGACGUCACUCUGCGCUCUGUAUAUAUUUUUUUAAAAAGCCUCUGAGUUCUAAUGUAACUCUGCAUUAUUCUGAGUGCCUCUGACGUAGGCACCCAGCUUCUCCCUUUCCCGGAUGUGCGCAUUCCCUGCCUCUGAUUGCUGAUACUCUGAUGGUACCUCACCAUCCCCGCCGCGUUCCUCACACUCCCAGGGUCCGAAGCCCAUUUCAAACCCUUUUCUUCGGCUGAGCCGAGGCGGUGCCCCCAGCUCCUCUGCGCAGGGGCCUCUGCCUGACCCGUCCCGCGAGCUGUCUGUCUGCCCGGCCGAGCCCAGGGCCAGGCGCUAGGCCGAGCGCACGCCGUCCUCCCGCCGCGACUUCCGGCGGCCUUCCCCCUGCCUGGCUCCUGGGCAGCGCCAAGCUGCCGUCCCUGGCACCCGUGACCGCGGCACUGACACCGGGCCCCGACGGCCACGCGACUCCGGUCUACUUCCCUUCAGGAGAAAAGUCACCUAAUGAAUGGAUACACACUGAGCAAUUAAGAGGCCUGGCUAUACUAACUCACAGCAGAGUACGUGGAGACCCCAAGCCCCUGGGACCCUUGCGGGGGUGUUGCGCUGAGAUUUCAGGGGUCGGUGAGAUAUGUGGGGAGCUCACAGGAGUCAAGCUGCUGGAAACGCGGAGGAGGAGCUCCAAGGAAGGCACCCAAACAGACAAGGUAAAGGAAACGCAGGGCCGCACGCCUACAUGACAGGACACACGCUACCUACCCCUCCCAAAUAGUCGUAAGUAAUAAUCAUAACAAUUAAAUCCGCAAUAAUUAAGACUAGAGAAAUCAAACCUUUCUGUACUUUCAAAAUUAGAAGAUAACUGUCGGGUACUGUACUUUUUCUAUAAUUGUGCAAAAUGUGUUAAGGAAUUAAUUAUAAAACUGCAUGUACAGGCAAAGAGCACCGGGGGGCUUUGUCAGAGCCCGCUGCACAAGCACAGGCAGGUCUCUGUGCUACUCUGUGCCUCAGUUUCUCCCGCUGUGGGUGGAAUGAAUUCUAAGCUCACUUCCCUAACUACUAAAGAAUGGUAAGAUUUACCUUCCACUGGCAGUUUUCUUAAUGGUGCUUCAGUUUGAAAGGCAGCUAGGGAGCAGGUGAAAAUCUUUUUGUUAAAAAUCUAAGACCAAGAUAUACUUUGUUUUAUACAACAAUCACUAGGAAUGGUACAUAAUACAAGUAUAUAUGGUUCU